rnacentral:tRNA from 1 species
GCCUGGAUGGCUCAGUGGUUGAGCGUCUGCCUUUGGCUCAGGUCAUAAUCCCGGGGUCCUGGGAUCGAGUCCCACAUCGGGCU